CCUACGGGGGGUAGCAGUGAGGAAUAUUGGUCAAUGGCCGGAAGGCUGAACCAGCCAAGUCGCGUGAGGGACGACUGCCCUAUGGGUUGUAAACCUCUUUUAUAAGGGAAGAAUAAAUGCUACGUGUAGCAUGAUGCCUGUACCUUAUGAAUAAGCAUCGGCUAACUCCGUGCCAGCAGCCGCGGUAAUACGGAGGAUGCGAGCGUUAUCCGGAUUUAUUGGGUUUAAAGGGUGCGUAGUGGGUUUUUUAAGUCUGUUGUUAAAGUUUGGGGGCUCCACGUUGUUUUGCAAUUGAUACUGGAAGACUUGAGUUCAGACGAGGUAGGCGGAAUAAGUUAAGUAGCGGUGAAAUGCUUAGAUAUAACGUAGAACUCCGAUAGCGAAGGCAGCUUACCAGACUGCGACUGACGCUGAAGCACGAGAGCGUGGGUAGCGAACAGGAUUAGAUACCCGAGUAGUC
rnacentral:rRNA from 1 species